rnacentral:misc_RNA from 1 species
AUCCCUCUCUUUUUAGCCUACUUAAACUUCUCCAUACAUUUUCCUCCACUUUCCUUCAAACCAAACAUGCAUCAUUUCUUUUUCUACUUCGUCUUUCUCUCCCUCGUUCUCUCACCAACUUCCUCUUCGCCUGCAGAACUCCAACUGCUCAUGCAAAUCAAGGCCUCCCUCGACCCACAUAACCGGUUCUUGACCUCAUGGGAACCCAACACUGACCCUUGUGCUGGCUCUUUUGAAGGCGUCGCUUGCAAUGAGCAAGGCCGUGUGGCUAAUAUUUCUCUUCAGGGCAAGGGUCUCUCCGGCGAGAUACCUCCGG